GACGAACGCUGGCGGCAUGCCUAACACAUGCAAGUCGAACGGAGAUUACUUCGGUAAUCUUAGUGGCGAACGGGUGAGUAACGCGUGGGCAACCUGCCCUCUAGAUGGGGACAACAUCCCGAAAGGGGUGCUAAUACCGAAUGUGACAGCAAUCUCGCAUGAGGAUGCUGUGAAAGAUGGCCUCUAUUUAUAAGCUAUCGCUAGAGGAUGGGCCUGCGUCUGAUUAGCUAGUUGGUGGGGUAACGGCCUACCAAGGCGAUGAUCAGUAGCCGGUCUGAGAGGAUGAACGGCCACAUUGGGACUGAGACACGGCCCAGACUCCUACGGGAGGCAGCAGUGGGGAAUCUUCCGCAAUGGGCGAAAGCCUGACGGAGCAAGGCCGCGUGAGUGAUGAAGGAAUUCGUUCCGUAAAGCUCUUUUGUUUAUGACGAAUGUGCAGAUUGUAAAUAAGAAUCUGUAAUGACGGUAGUAAACGAAUAAGCCACGGCUAACUACGUG
rnacentral:rRNA from 1 species